rnacentral:rRNA from 1 species
CCUACGGGUGGCAGCAGUGAGGAAUAUUGGUCAAUGGACGAGAGUCUGAACCAGCCAAGUAGCGUGAAGGAUGGCUGCCCUAGGGGUUGUAAACUUCUUUUAUAAAGGAAUAAAACGAGGCACGCGUGCCUUUUUGCAUGUACUUUAUGAAUGAGGAUCGGCUCACUCCGUGCCAGCAGCCGCGGUAAUACGGAGGAUCCGAGCGUUAUCCGGAUUUAUUGGGUUUAAAGGGAGCGUAGAUGGGUUGUUAAGUCAGUUGUGAAAGUCUGCGGCUCAACCGUAAAAGUGCAAUUGAUACUGGCAGUCUUGAGUACAGUUGAGGUAAGCGGAAUUCGUGGUGUAGCGGUGAAAUGCUUAGAUAUCACGAAGAACCCCGAUUGCGAAGGCAGCUUACUAAACUGUGACUGACAUUGAUGCUCGAAAGUGUGGGGAUCAAACAGGAUUAGAUACCCCAGUAGUC